AUCGCUUCUUGGCCUUUUGGCUAAGAUCAAGUGUAAAAACUGUCAACUGCAUUUCUUUCGCCAAAUAUUCAUGUUUGAAUAAACACACUUUAUAUCUGAGUUACUAUUGCAAGUAAGAAUGGUUUUCCAUGAAGAAAGCAGCAGGUUCAUCUGAUAGCUAUACAAAUGAACUGCCUGAGUAAUUUCCU